rnacentral:rRNA from 1 species
UAGAGUUUUGAUCCUGGCUCAGGAUGAACGCUGGCGGCGUGCCUAAUACAUGCAAGUCGAGCGAAUUGACAGAGGUGCUUGCACCUCUCGAUUUUAGCGGCGGACGGGUGAGUAACACGUGGGUAACCUACCUAUAAGACUGGGAUAACUUCGGGAAACCGGAGCUAAUACCGGAUAAUAUUUAGCUUCGCAUGAAGCAAUAGUGAAAGACGGUUCUGCUGUCACUUAUAGAUGGACCUGCGGUGUAUUAGCUAGUUGGUGAGGUAACGGCUCACCAAGGCAACGAUACAUAGCCGACCUGAGAGGGUGAUCGGCCACACUGGGACUGAGACACGGCCCAGACUCCUACGGGAGGCAGCAGUAGGGAAUCUUCCGCAAUGGACGAAAGUCUGACGGAGCAACGCCGCGUGAGUGAAGAAGGUUUUCGGAUCGUAAAUACUCCUGUUGUAAGGGAAGAACAAGUACGUUAGUAACUGAACGUACCUUGACGGUACCUUACCAGAAAGCCACGGCUAAAAAACG